AGUCAUAUGCUUGUCUCAAAGAUUAAGCCAUGCAUGUCUCAGUACAAGCCAAAUUAAGGUGAAACCGCGAAAGGCUCAUUAAAUCAGUUAUGGUUCCUUAGAUCGUACCCCACAUUUACUUGGAUAACUGUGGUAAUUCUAGAGCUAAUACAUGCAAACAGAGUUCCGACCGGAGACGGAAGGAACGGUUUUAUUAGAUCAAAACCAAUCGGCAUUGAACACUACUACUUAUUGUAGUUAGUUGCCUUUGUCGUACAUGUUGGUGAAUCUGAAUAACUUUUUCCUGAUCGCACGGUCUCGCACCGGCGACGCAUCUUUCAAAUGUCUGCCUUAUCAACUGUCGAUGGUAGGUUCUGUGCCUACCAUGGUUGUAACGGGUAACGGGGAAUCAGGGUUCGAUUCCGGAGAGGGAGCCUGAGAAACGGCUACCACAUCCAAGGAAGGCAGCAGGCGCGCAAAUUACCCACUCCCGGCACGGGGAGGUAGUGACGAAAAAUAACGAUACGGGACUCAUCCGAGGCCCCGUAAUCGGAAUGAGUACACU
rnacentral:rRNA from 1 species